GGUUAAGCGACUAAGCGUACACGGUGGAUGCCUAGGCAAUCAGAGGCGAUGAAGGACGUGCUAAUCUGCGAUAAGCGUCGGUAAGGUGAUAUGAACCGUUACAACCGACGAUUUCCGAAUGGGGAAACCCAGUGCAAUUCGUUGCACUAUCGUUUGAUGAAUACAUAGUCAAACGAAGCGAACCGGGGGAACUGAAACAUCUCAGUACCCCGAGGAAAAGAAAUCAACCGAGAUUCCCCUAGUAGCGGCGAGCGAACGGGGAGCAGCCCAGAGUCUUAAUCAGCAUUAGCAUCAGGAGAACGGUCUGGAAAGUCCGGCAGUAAAGGGUGAUAGCCCCGUAUCCGAAGGUGUUAGUGUUGUGAACUCGACGAGUAGGGCGGGACACGUGUUAUCCUGUCUGAAUAUGGGGGG
rnacentral:rRNA from 1 species